AUGGAUUGUAGAGAGAUGGACUUACAUGAGGACUACCAGUCCCCGUUUGAUUUUGAUACAGGAGUGAACAAAAGCUAUCUCUACUUGUCUCCUAGUGGAAAUUCAUCUCCACCCGGAUCACCUGCUCUUCAGAAAUUUGGUCUGCUGAGGACAGAUCCAGCCCCUGAGGAAGGAGAGGAUGUUGCUGCCACCGUCAGUCCUACAGACGACCUAUCAGAAGAGGAGCGAGAAGAGCUGAGACGAGAACUGGCAAAGGUUGAAGAAGAAAUUCAGACUCUGUCUCAAGUGUUAGCAGCAAAAGAGAAGCACCUAGCAGGGAUCAAGCGGAAACUUGGAAUCGGUUCACUACAAGAAUUAAAACAGAAUAUUGCCAAAGGAUGGCAAGAUGUGGCGGCAACAUCUGCAUACAAGAAGACAUCUGAAGCAUUGUCUCAGGCUGGACAGAAGGCUUCCGCUGCCUUUUCAUCCGUUGGCUCCGUCAUCACCAAAAAGCUGGAAGAUAUCAAAAACUCCCCAACCUUGAAAUCAUUUGAAGAAAAGGUUGAAAACUUAAAGUCUAAAGUAGGGGGAACCAAGCCUGUCGGUUUUGACUUUGGAGAAGUCUUGAUCAACUGCAAAUGCUAGUGCCACCACCAGGGAGCCUCAUCCAGAACCAACACAGGAGAGCCUGGGAGAUUCCUACCUUUGUUCUGCGUCCCACUGCCAGAGGCUGCAAGCGAGAUCUGAGCACAUCUUGUCAACAUUUGUGAAUUUCUACCAGAUGGGCUUUUACUUAGCUUUACAUACUCCUUUGACCAAAUAGCUUGUGGGUUAAACAAAAUGAAAAUAUCUCCACCUCUACUCCUGGGAAACACCCUCUAAUGUAUCUUUAAGGC